GAUGAACGCUAGCUACAGGCUUAACACAUGCAAGUCGAGGGCAGCACAGUGUAGCAAUACACGGGUGGCGACCGGCGCACGGGUGCGUAACGCGUAUCCAACUUCCCGUUACUCAGGGAUAGCCUUCCGAAAGGGAGAUUAAUACUUGAUGGUGUUGAAAUUCCGCAUGUUAUUUCAACUAAAGAUUUAUCGGUAACGGAUGGGAAUGCGUGACAUUAGGUAGAUGGCGGGGUAACGGCCCACCAUGCCUACGAUGUCUAGGGGUUCUGAGAGGAAGGUCCCCCACACUGGAACUGAGACACGGUCCAGACUCCUACGGGAGGCAGCAGUGAGGAAUAUUGGUCAAUGGUCGGAAGACUGAACCAGCCAAGUAGCGUGAAGGAUGAAGGUUCUAUGGAUUGUAAACUUCUUUUAUACGGGAAUAAAACCUCCCACGUGUGGGAGCUUGUAUGUACCGUAUGAAUAAGCAUCGGCUAACUCCGUG
rnacentral:rRNA from 1 species